GGGUGGAGCCACCGCAGGUGCAGAUCUUGGUGGUAGUGGCAAAUAUUCAAACGAGAACUUUGAAGGCCUAAGUGGAGAAGGGUUCCAUAU
rnacentral:miRNA from 1 species